rnacentral:tRNA from 1 species
GGCGGUAUAACUCAGACUGGUUAGAGUGCGAGUCUCAUAAGCUCGCUGUCCCGAGUUCAAAUCUCGGUACCGCCA